AUGGAGGCCAUGCACGCUCGCCUCGCCCUCGCCUUCCUCCUGUUCGUCGCGCUUGCGGCGGCACAGCAGGUGCCGGCGCCGGCGCCUGCCGACGUGGGUUGCAACGGCGUCUUCCUCACCUACGCCCCCGAGGCCCACCAAAGGAUCAGGCCGUUCGUGGACCCCGCCGCCGCCGCGGCCGGCAGGCAGCCCUACUCCUUCCGCGCCAGCGCCACCGUCCUCAACAACGGCGUCCGCACGCUCCCCUCGUGGUCGCUGCUGGUCGCCUUCGCGCACGGCGAGAUUCUUGUCAGUCUCGACGGCGGCGUGCUCACCUUCGGGGACGACCUGCCGUACAACACCACGGCGGCCGGUGGCGGCGCGACGUCCUUGUCUGGGAACCCGCAGACGGACCUCCUAACGCCGAUCGCCACCGCCGGCGACCUGACCAGGAUACAGGCGACGGUGAGGCUGGUCGGCACGCUGUUCGCCGGGCCAGAGCCGGUCGUGACGCUCCCGUCCGCGAUCUCGCUGGCCGACCCCGCGUACACCUGCUCGCCUGUCGCCACCGCGCCAACGGUCCUCUCCGCGUGCUGCGUGCUGAUUGCGCCGGACCAGCCCUCGGCCGUGCCGCCGGCGGCCGGGAACACCUACCUCCCGCGCGUCACCGGCGACCUCGUCAUCACCUACGACGUGCUCCAGGCGCACGAGACCACGUACCUGGCGCUGGUGACGCUCGAGAACAACGCGCCGAUGGGCCGCCUCGACGGCUGGGAGCUGUCGUGGGAGUGGCGGCGCGGCGAGUUCGUCAACUCCAUGAGAGGCGCGUACCCGCGGGAGGUGGACGCCAGAGGCUGCCUCUACGGCCCGCAGGGGCAGUACUACAAGGACCUCGACUUCUCCAAGGUGCUCAACUGCGAGCGCCGGCCGGUGGUGCACGACCUGCCGCCGUCCCGCCGCGACGACACGUCCCUCGGUCAGAUCGAGCACUGCUGCAGGAACGGCACCAUCCUGCCCAAGACCAUGGACGAGGCGCAGUCCAAGUCGGCGUUCCAGAUGGAGGUGUACAAGAUGCCGCCGGACCUGAACCGGACGGCCAGGCCGCACGCCCCGGCCAACUUCAGGAUCUCCGGCGCGUCGCCGCUCAACCAGGCGUACGCGUGCGGGCAGCCAGCGCUGGUGAGCCCCACGGAGUUCCCGGACCCGAGCGGGCUCGUCUCCACGACGCUCGCCGUCGCGACGUGGCAGGCGGUCUGCAACAUGACCGUCGACGACGCCAAACCGUCCAAGCCGCCGCAGUGCUGCGUGUCCUUCUCCGCGUUCUUCAACGAGUCGGUGAUCCCCUGCAGCACCUGCGCGUGCGGCUUCCCCACCCCGGCGCCUACGACCUGCAGCACGACGGCGCCGGCGCUGCUCCUGCCGCCGCACGCGCUGCUCAUGCCGUUCGAGUGGCGGGCCAAGGAGACGCUCAAGUGGUAUCACGACGAGGAGCUGGGCGCGCCGCCGAACCCGAUGCCGUGCGGCGACAACUGCGGGGUGAGCGUGAACUGGCACGUGGCCACGGACGCGGCCGGCGGGUGGAGCGCGCGGGUGACGCUCUUCAACUGGGAGGAGGGCGCGGACAUGCGCGACUGGUUCGCCACCGUCGUCAUGGGCGACAAGGUGUACGGCGGGUUCGAGCAGGCCUACUCCUUCAACGCCACCGCCGUCGGGGACGGCGCCAUCUUCAUGCGCGGCAGGGAAGGCUUCGAGCUCCUGCUGAGGGAGAGCAACGUGAGCGGCGUGGACUACCCCGUGCCCGGGAAGCAGCAGUCCGUGCUCUCCUUCACCAAAAAGAAUGGCCCCGGCGACGUCGACGUGGUUGGCGGCGACGGGUUCCCGACCAAGAUCUUCUUCAACGGCGAGGAGUGCGCCAUGCCACAGAUGAUUCCGAGCCAGGGGGUUGGCACUCGCGCUAGCCGUGAAACAGGAUUAAUUGUACACCAGUCUGCACAGCUGAAGAAAGAUAGACCUCCAAACUCCAGCAUCUAUUGCCGAAGCUGCAGAACCGGAAGAGAAAGUUUCUGCAGUUCCAUCGUUGCGGAGAAUGCAGCUAGCUGA
rnacentral:rRNA from 1 species